AUUGAACGCUGGCGGCAGGCCUAACACAUGCAAGUCGAGCGGAUUAGAAGAGCUUGCUCUUCGAGUUAGCGGCGGACGGGUGAGUAAUGCCUAGGAAUCUGCCUGGUAGUGGGGGGCAACGUUUCGAAAGGAACGCUAAUACCGCAUACGUCCUACGGGAGAAAGCAGGGGACCUUCGGGCCUUGCGCUAUCAGAUGAGCCUAGGUCGGAUUAGCUAGUUGGUGAGGUAAUGGCUCACCAAGGCGACGAUCCGUAACUGGUCUGAGAGGAUGGUCAGUCACACUGGAACUGAGACACGGUCCAGACUCCUACGGGAGGCAGCAGUGGGGAAUAUUGGACAAUGGGCGAAAGCCUGAUCCAGCCAUGCCGCGUGUGUGAAGAAGGUCUUCGGAUUGUAAAGCACUUUAAGUUGGGAGGAAGGGCAGUAAGCGAAUACCUUGCUGUUUUGACGUUACCGACAGAAUAAGCACCGGCUAACUCUGUGCCAGCAGCCGCGGUAAUACAGAGGGUGCAAGCGUUAAUCGGAAUUACUAGGCGUAAAGCGCGCGUAGGUGGUUCGUUAAGUUGAAUGUGAAAGCCCCGGGCUCAACCUGGGAACUGCAUCCAAAACUGGCGAGCUAGAGUAGGGCAGAGGGUGGUGGAAUUUCCUGUGUAGCGUUGAAAUGCGUAGAUAUAGGAAGGAACACCAGUGGCGAAUGCGACCACCUGGGCUCAUACUGACACUGAGGUGCGAAAGCGUGGGGAGCAAACAGG
rnacentral:rRNA from 1 species